rnacentral:lncRNA from 1 species
AUUGUUGGUCUAAGUUUUGGAUCUACAUUGAGGCACCGUAAGGCGAGUGCUGCUGCAGCUUGUGCACCUUUCUUCGAGUACUGCCCUCCGAACCUUGUAUCCAUGAUUCUCAGUACUCGUCUGCUGUCGCUUAGGAAAGGUAUCGCCCACUCUACCAAUGUUUCCUCAGCACCUCCUGGGUUUUCCUCACUUAGGAAAGGUAUCGCCCAUUCUACCAAUGUUUCCUCAGCGCCUCCCGGGUUCUCCUUGCCUGUUGCUCGUUUUCCUGAUAGCAGCUCCAACAGAACAACACCGAAACUAUAUACAUCGUUCUUUGGAGUCAAAUGACCUGUUACAAGUAAUUGAGAGUUGACUUGAGAUAAGAUAUACAAGAUACCAACCAUGGUAUCACAGUUAUCAGAAGGCGAAUAGCUUAAUGGCGCUGGAUUAC